UCAUAUUUUAAUUUAGCAUGUUUUUUCAUUAGAUUUUUAGAAAAAAAGCAUUGCCUGAUAGCAGUGAAGACUGAGCUACAAAAGAAGCUCUGAAGCAGUUUGACUUCUUGGUUUCAUCAGAGGAAGGAGACAGUGAAUUUAGAAGUGCAGAAAAGGAGGACCAAUGUCUCAUGCCCAAAGCCUGGAAUGUCGACCAGGGAGUAAUUACCAAACUCAAGGAGCAAUACAAAAAGGAGAGAAAGGGGAAAAGGGGGGUGAAAAAAAACAGUCAAAACAGGGAUGUGAGAGAAGGAAGAAUCAAAGCUCAGGGCCCAAUAGGUCAAAACUACAAGAUAUGCCUGCUAAUUUGAGAGAUGUUGAUGAACUCCUUCAUUGCAGCCAUCUGUGGGUUCACCUUCCAGACCUAGCAGCUCCAGGCUUCCUGAGCACGAAAUUAAUAGGGCAGAUGAAGGCAAGUACUUGAGACACUCUGGAGCAAAGAAAGCACUUGGACAUAUAUCUCUAAAUUUAUCAUUAUAAAAGAUUGUCCUUACUUGGAACUUUACUUUUUGAUCUAUAUAAUGUUCACCAAAUAC